GGCAGGCUCUUAGUUUGGAUAAACAGAGUCGUCCUCGUGCUGUCCAGGAUCCAGAGCAAGGGCGACAAGGUUGGGAGGAAAACAGAGAACAGGAGUUGUCUGGGUAGAACUGCUCACACCUCGCUCCGCUGAAGGAAACACGGAGGGCCCUGUGCUGAGGACGGUGCUGGGGUCUGCAGUGUGGGAGCUGUGGACAUGGAACCCAACCCCCUGCACGAACCCUACCCACCAUUCACAGCGCGAACUGCUCCGCCAAGUCCUGGCUUCCUCACGUGUAAAUAAGGAUAAUAAUACUGAACUCUCAAGGUGCUGCAGAGGAGACGCUGGACUACUCAAAGAAGCUGUUUCUGCAGAGGCACUGACAGUUCAGCUGCUGAGAGUUGAGACGACUGUUGUGCCCAUUGUUCUCAUUUGCUCUCUGAAGGACGCGCUCUGCUCAUUUCGGGAGCACCAAAAGGAAUCCCAGAGAGGUUAAGUAACCUGCUCAACUUCACACAAGAAGUUCUUCAGAUGGCUCCUGUUCUGGGGUCUUAGCCCUAGACACAGCAGAACUUUUGAGAAAAGCCAGGGACAUUCCCCUGUCUCAGUUAUGUGAGCUUUAUUUGUGUCCUAGACGCCCUUUCUCUCGCUGCUGCACUUCUUCAGAUCAGUUGUAGAGAUUAGAUUAGAGCUGGGGGACUAGGGACAUAGCUCUGCUGUAGAGCCCAGCAUCCCCGACCCCAAAGUGCUGCUGUUUUCGAG